rnacentral:rRNA from 1 species
UGUCGGCGAAUCGGGUUGUUUGGGAAUNCAACCCCAAUCGGGCGGUAAAUUCCGUCCAAGGCUAAAUAUUGGCGAGAGACCGAUAGCGAACAAGUACCGCGAGGGAAAGAUGAAAAGGACUUUGAAAAGAGAGUCAAAGAGUGCUUGAAAUUGUCGGGAGGGAANCGGAUGGGGGCCGGCGAUGUGUCUCGGUCGGAUGUGGAACGGUUUGUGCCGGUCCGCCAAUCGACUCGAGACAUUGACCGACGCGGAUUGUGAUGGUGGCCCAAGCCUGGGUUGUUGAAAUGCUCGCGGAGACGUCAUCAUCACGAUUGUGGACGGCAGCGCGCNCUGAUUCGGCGUGCUUCGGCACUUGCGUGCUCCUGGCGUCGNCCUGUGGGCUCCCCAUCGA